CAGAGCGAAGGUGAGGAUGCUUGCCUGAAUCCCCAAAAUGUCAAAACUGAAAAUUUUAGUACUGUACUCACAUGUGAAUCACUCCAUUUUGGGCAUUUUUUGUGGAAUUUUGAAACAUUUACUCCAUUUUGGGACGCACGCAGGUGAGAUUCAGUGUACUCUACGAACUGCUUCAAAAUGUAGGGCAUUUUGGGACACACACAGGUGUGCAUUUUUGUGGAAUUUUCAGUUUGUAAAAUUGGAGUAUUGAAGAAGUGUAUUUUCCAUUUUGAAACUGAAAAUAAACCGUAUGUUCUGCAUUCUGUAUGUUGAUUAUCAAUUCUGUUUCCACUAAAUUUUGAUCAGUGACUAUAGCAUAAUAUCCAGUUUCCACUUUGUAAAUUCAGUUAACACAUUUGCUCUUUGUAAAUUCAGGUAACACAUUUAACACUUGGUAAAUUCAGUUAACUCAAGGCUAAAGACAAUCUACCAAGGCUAAAGCAUAUACUGACAUGAAACGACAAUAAUGGAGCCAUGGAGCAGCGGCAACUCAAGGUGAUGGAUCAUCUCUCUUGCCUUGUGCAGCUUG
rnacentral:lncRNA from 1 species